UACACCGAUAAUAUCGUAUUAUCGGCGAUAUUUGUCAUUUGCUGUAAUUUCUGAGGGCAUUUUCGGGAUUAUAAGAGAAGGGAAGAGAUUUAAUCCCUAAAUCCCAUCGAUACGCAAAGGGUAGAGAGUUGAUUUUACAAAUUUCGUUGCAGGUUCUUCUUCUCUAUUUUAAUGGCGAGAUUCAGUUGAUUCUAUCUUAACAAGAGGUCCAAGGGAAGAUACAUCUUAUAUGCAUAUCCAGCAAAGGCAAAGUCGCUGAAGAAACAUCAAAACAGUUCAUCUAGCAACUGGGUUGUGAUUAUGGAUUCUUCUAAUGCAUCAAAUUCAAAUAUGGC